rnacentral:rRNA from 1 species
CCUACGGGAGGCAGCAGUCGAGAAUCAUUCACAAUGGGGGAAACCCUGAUGGUGCGACGCCGCGUGGGGGAAUGAAGGUCUUCGGAUUGUAAACCCCUGUCAUGUGGGAGCAAAUUAAAAAGAUAGUACCACAAGAGGAAGAGACGGCUAACUCUGUGCCAGCAGCCGCGGUAAUACAGAGGUCUCAAGAGUUGUUCGGAAUCACUGGGCGUAAAGCGUGCGUAGGCUGUUUCGUAAGUCGUGGGUGAAAGGCGCGGGCUCAACCAGCGGACGGCACAUGAUACUGCGAGACUAGAGUAAUGGAGGGGGAACCGGAAUUCUCGGUGUAGCAGUGAAAUGCGGAGAUAUCGAGAGGAACACUCGUGGCGAAGGCGGGUUCCUGGACAUUAACUGACGCUGAGGCACGAAGGCCAGGGGAGCGAAAGGGAUUAGAUACCCCUGUAGUC